UUAAGUAAGGAAGGGCGUACGGCGAAUGCCUGGCCACUCGAAACUGAAGAAGGACGCGCCAAACUGCGAAAAGCUCCGUGAAGCUGUAAGGAAGCGAAGAAGCGGAGGUGUCCGAAUGGGGGAACCCGGCAGCAGACAUGAGCUGUCAUCUGCAGGUGAAUACAUGGCCUGCAAGAGAGGUACCCGGCGAACUGAAACAUCUAAGUAGCCGGAGGAAAAGAAAACAACAGUGAUUCCCUGAGUAGCGGCGAGCGAAAGGGGAGAAGCCCAAACCGGUCCGAGGACCGGGGUUGAAGGACCAUGAAGUGGCAAGAGCGAGGAUAGGAGAACGGGAUCGAAAGCCCGGCCGAAGAAGGUGCAAGCCCUGUAACCGAAAUCCGAGUAAAGCCUAAUGGGAUCCUGAGUACGGCGAGACACGAGGAAUCUUGUCGGAAGCAGGCGGGACCAUCCGCCAAGGCUAAAUAUAAACGAGUGAGCGAUAGUGAACCAGUACCGUGAGGGAAAGGUGAAAAGAACCGCGGGAGCGGAGUGAAAGAGAACCUGAAACCGUAUGCCUACAAGAAGUCAGAGCCCGUUAAGGGGUGAUGGCGUGCCUUUUGUAGAAUGAACCGGCGAGUUGCGACAGACUGCGAGGUUAAGGAGGAAAGACCGGAGCCGAAGCGAAAGCGAGUCUUAAGAGGGCGAAAGUAGGAUGUUGCAGACCCGAAACCGGGUGAUCUAGCCAUGAGCAGGUUGAAGUUGAGGUGAAACUCAAUGGAGGACCGAACCGACUACCGUUGAAAAGUUAGCGGAUGACUUGUGGCUAGGGGAGAAAUUCCAAUCGAACCCGGAGAUAGCUGGUUCUCCCCGAAAUAGCUUUAGGGCUAGCGUCGGAAAGAACCUUAGUGAAGGUAGAGCACUGAAUGUGUGAUGGCCCCAUCCCGGGGUACUGAAUACAAUCAAACUGCGAAUGUCAUUAAGGAUGUCCGGCAGUCAGACUGUGAGUGAUAAGGUCCAUGGUCAAGAGGGAAACAGCCCAGACCGCCAGUUAAGGUCCCAAAAUACAGGCUAAGUGGAAAAGGAUGUGGGGAUGCCCAGACAACUAGGAGGUUGGCUCAGAAGCAGCCAUCCUUUAAAGAGUGCGUAACAGCUCACUAGUCGAGUGACCCUGCGCCGAAAAUGUACCGGGGCUAAGCCUGAUACCGAAACUGCGGAUUGUAGGAAACUAUAGUGGUAGGGGAGCGUUGUAUACGAGUAGAAGCCGUACCGUGAGGAGCGGUGGAUUGUAUAGAAGUGAGAAUGCCGGUGUGAGUAGCGAGAUGUAGGUGAGAAUCCUACACACCGAAAGCCCAAGGAUUCCAGGGGAAGGUUCGUCCGCCCUGGGUAAGUCGGGACCUAACGCGAGGCCGAAAGGCGUAGUGGAUGGAAAGCAGGCGAAAGAUUCCUGCACCCGUAUAUGGAGCGAAGGAGUGACGGAGACGGAUAGUGUGACCCUCUUAAUGGAUUGAGGGCGAAGCGAAGCGGCUGGUUACCAGGCAAAUCCGGUAACUGUAAGGCUAGAGCGUGACAGGUAAGCGAAAUCUAAGGAAAGUAGCGAAGCACAUGAUGACGGCUUCCAGGAAAAGCUUCUGGCAAUGCAUAUGCGGCCCGUACCAAAACCGACACAGGUGGGCAGGGAGAGAAUCCCGAGGUGAGCGAGAGAACUGUUGCCAAGGAACUCGGCAAAAUGACUCCGUAAGUUAGCGAGAAGGAGUGCUUAAGCAAUUAAGCCGCAGUGAAGAGGCCCAAGCGACUGUUUAACUAAAACACAGCUCUCUGCGAAGUCGCAAGACGAAGUAUAGGGGGUGACACCUGCCCGGUGCUGGAAGGUUAAGAGGAUCUGUUAAGAGCGAUCUGAAGCAGUGAUCCGAAGCCCCAGUGAACGGCGGCCGUAACUAUAACGGUCCUAAGGUAGCGAAAUUCCUUGUCAGGUAAG
rnacentral:rRNA from 1 species